GAACAUGGUGAAAUUCAGGAGAAAAAAUGAGAAAAAGGACUAAAGUGACGCAAAGUGAAAGUUCAAGAACCAAAAGUGCAAAUAUCCCAAAGUUGAUCUGAUGAAAAAAUUGAGAAAUCAAUUGGGCCAAUUACCAAAUUGACGAUAUCGUGGGGGUGAUGAAAUGAAAAGAAUGAAGAGAAGAUGCUAAGAAGUGAAGGAUGCAAUUUGGAGGACCAAAACGCAAUUUCUUCAUAGUUGAUAGUACUAUGCGACCGCAUAGUAUUAUCCUCUAUGCGAUCACAUAGUACCAUACUGAAACAAAAAAGGCUUGAAAAAUUCCUUCUAUGCGACCGCAUAGAAUUACUCUAUGUGGUCGCAUAGAACAAAAAUCUGAAAAAAUUUUAGUUUCCUUUUUCUUCCGAAACUCUUAUGGAAACAAAAUUUUAGGGUCCUAUAAAUACAAAAACUCGACCAGAACAAAGGACGCCUUUUUACAUGUUUUUGGGGGAUUUUGAAGAAGAAACAAGGGAGAAAACAAGAGAUAAACAUCGCGCCAAUUGAAGAUCGGAGUGAAUAUUGAUUUGGGUGAUGUCGUUUCUUCAAAUACUUUUGAGUUUUGUUCUUUUUAGCAUGUUAGGCUAAAUUUAUUACUACUAGGAGAUGAUGAACCUUGUAAUGCCACGUUUAAUUGUUGUUUUGGAUUUUUGACGUAUGUAAAUACCAAUUCCGG
rnacentral:lncRNA from 1 species